rnacentral:other from 1 species
UUGUCCCUGCGAUGUUCGUGAUGUGUUGACUAUUUUAAGCCGACAAGUGUAGAUUAGGGAAUCCGGAGUUUCUGGUAAUCGUGGUUAUCAGAACAGGAUACCCACUUUAAGUUGGUGCUUUAAAACAGUCAGACACACGGCAGAGCGGGGACUUU